CGGUGAAUACGUUCCCGGACCUUGUACACACCGCCCGUCAAGCCAUGGAAGCUGGGGGUACCUGAAGUCGGUGACCGUAAGGAGCUGCCUAGGGUAAAACUGGUAACUGGGGCU
rnacentral:rRNA from 1 species